GGAGUUGUCUCCAGGCCGUUGUGGCCCCUCACACAAUAAGGUGACCUGUUCAUCUUGGAACACACUUACCCACGGAGGCUGCAAGGUUAAUGGAACUCAUCCUUUGGAAGAAAGACAAUGGCAUAAGAGGAGAAUCUGAGGUAGCGAUCACUUACCCACUUGCCCACCAACUGGAACUGCAAAGGAUGGGAGAACAGAGACAUCAGGUGCAUGAGACAAGAGCCUUCCAAUGCUCAUGUGACCCAGUGUCACACAGUGAUAGCUGACUGACAGAAGUGGAAAACAAGGAAGACCUGAGAGGAACUCAAGAUGUUCUGAGAGAGAUGAGAGAAGCCUCAGAUCAAUGAGAUUUACCUUCAAAGACGUUCAUAACUCUUAUACUAUUUUGUCUCCAAAGUUAGCUACUAUACAGAUGUACCAUAAUUUCUUUCAUCAACCUUUCUUCAUGGACACAGAGUAUAUUUCUAACUUUUUGUUAUGAUCCGCUUUGCAAUACCUUUAAACAUUUGACUUAUUAUUUCCUUAGGACACAUAUCUAAAAUCAACACUGCUCAAAGAAAGUUUAAAUUUUUUCUUUUGGAUAAAAGAUUAUUGUCAUCUUUUAUGUCAGAUUAUCAUCAUCGUUGCAAUCUCAUUGGCAGGGAAUAAAAUAAUGAUGACAAGUAGCAUUAUAGAUUUAAUUAGAGCCUUGAUUUUUUUUACCCUCAGUCUACCAAUAUUUGUACUGUAUGUCAGAUAGUUAUGCUAUGAUUAUGUAUAAAGACAUGAAUGGUGUGAAUAUACUUUGUAUACAACCAGAGAUCUGAAAAUAUGUGCUCUGUAUGUGUAAUAUGAAUUAUAAUGCAUUCUUCUGUAAAUUAGAAUGAAAAAUAAAAAAUAGGGAUUUCUAUUUUGCUAAAUCCAAUAUUGUAAUAUUGUCAAUACUUAAUAUUGUAAUGAGAC